AGGUUAGCACUCCCCUUGAGAAGGAUGGAGGAGGUUCUAGUGCCCUUUACAGAACAUAUGUGAUGUGGUUAAGCCAUUGCCAUCUACUUCGUCGUGGCAUCUACGUUUUCC
rnacentral:ncRNA from 1 species